rnacentral:rRNA from 1 species
UGGUGGGUAGUUUGACUGGGGCGGUCUCCUCCUAAAGAGUAACGGAGGAGCACGAAGGUUGGCUAAUCCUGGUCGGACAUCAGGAGGUUAGUGCAAUGGCAUAAGCCAGCUUGACUGCGAGCGUGACGGCGCGAGCAGGUGCGAAAGCAGGUCAUAGUGAUCCGGUGGUUCUGAAUGGAAGGGCCAUCGCUCAACGGAUAAAAGGUACUCCGGGGAUAACAGGCUGAUACCGCCCAAGAGUUCAUAUCGACGGCGGUGUUUGGCACCUCGAUGUCGGCUCAUCACAUCCUGGGGCUGAAGUAGGUCCCAAGGGUAUGGCUGUUCGCCAUUUAAAGUGGUACGCGAGCUGGGUUUAGAACGUCGUGAGACAGUUCGGUCCCUAUCUGCCGUGGGCGCUGGAGAACUGAGGGGGGCUGCUCCUAGUACGAGAGGACCGGAGUGGACGCAUCACUGGUGUUCGGGUUGUCAUGCCAAUGGCACUGCCCGGUAGCUAAAUGCGGAAGAGAUAAGUGCUGAAAGCAUCUAAGCACGAAACUUGCCCCGAGAUGAGUUCUCCCUGAGACUUUAGGUCUCCUGAAGGAACGUUGAAGACGACGACGUUGAUAGGCCGGGUGUGUAAGCGCAGCGAUGCGUUGAGCUAACCGGUAC